GCUGGCUUAGUGUAGUGGUUAUCACGUGACCUUUACAUAUAAUGAUGAUGUGAAGAACGGUCAAUGUCGCAGGUUCGAACCCUGCAGCUAGCA